ensembl:lincRNA
GUUGAAGAGUGUGCCUACUGCCCACAUGGGCUAGCGUUUAAAAUGUGCUGAGUAGCUGGAAGGAUCCUGAGUACAUUGGGCCCAGCAGGUCGGAUUAGAAGACGUGAAAUCUAGCUAAAAGAAACGGGCUACUACCAUUGAUCUUCCAGUUGUUGCCUAUUCGGUUACUGUUUACCGAGAGAGAUGAUGUGAAACAUGGGAAAAACAUGAAAAAAACUCAUUUUUUAGAGGAUCAGGAAUCCGCAGGUUUGUUUCACUAUAAAUGCUGCUGAAGUCUAGCUCUGGGACUUUGGCGGUUUUCUUAAGAGACAAGCUCUUUCCCUAGUAAGGGAAAACGAAACUCGUCCUAGCGCGCGAAAUACAGUAACAGCCGAACCGAAAGUAGGAGGCCUGGGAACUUUGGGCAAGGGCAGGACGUAACGCAGGUAAAUGCGCGUGUGCAGAAUGAAAAUGACCAAUGCAGAUCCUACAGGGGUGGCUUGUAGGCAGGGAGGACCCCAAUGAUAGACCAGGACGGAGGGGUGGGGAACACAGAAGGAAAGGGAUAUGAUUUUAGCUGGCGGGACCUGGACACCGUGGGAACAGCCCCGCCCAAGCAAAGGGCAGGCCGCACGGCCCAAAAGAAGGGGCGUGGCUUAGGAGAACCGCGGCUGCUAGCCUUUUACGUGUUGGAUGAAAACGGUGUGAGGGGCGUGGCAAAUGGACGAGUUCUCGGGAGGGGCGGUCCCAGGUGGAAGGCAAGUUUCCAGACUGGAGAACAGGGACAGAGGCUCCAGGGAGGAACUUCUGGAGGGUAGCACGAGUGAAGGCCUUACCACAGGUGUUCAGAUUCCUGCAAGUUACUUUGCAACUGAUGAAGAUUUCAAGCUAAAGAUGAUGGUGAUACAGAGCCUGAAGGUCACUCUUCAAGCAGCUCCCUGCAAUUCUCUGUGUAAAAGGUUCCCAGUUCCCAGAGUCUCUUGCUUUGGACUGACCAAGGGCAACAGCAGGGGGAGACCAGAGCUUGGGAAGGAAGAGGAGGAAGGAGAUGAGACCCCGAGGCGGGUUGGAAUAGGAAGCCUCGGGCCUUGGAUGCAGGAGUCAGGGCGUGAUGUACAGUUGUUAGGUUGGACACAUGAUGAAGGUGGUGAUUUAGCGAGACUGCCGAGUGGCGGAGCACAUGAGUUGGGGACAUGAGAGAACAGGGAAAGCCAUCAAGAGAUUCAGCACGAAGCCGGGGUGCCGGGGCCUCAGCUAGGCUGGUGGUCAUGGGCAACGCAAGGAAGAGAUGACCCUGAAAGAAUGUGGUCAUCAGUUACACAACUGGAAAUAAAGCGAAAAGGAGACCUGAACUGUCUUAAUGCGUUCGAGUUGCUAUAACACGAUACCUGGGACUGAGUGCUUUCCAAGCAGCAGAAAUUGCUUGCUCCUAGUUCUGAAAGCUGAGAGGGCCAAAGCUAAGGCACUGGCAGAUUUCAUGUCUGGUGGAGGCUUCCUGCUUUCAAAAUGGUUCCUUUUGCCUGUAUCACUCACCUGGUGGAAGGAGCCAGGGAAUAUCCUGGGGCCUCUUUGGUAAAGGCACUCAUCUCUUUCAUGAGGCUGCACCUUCCUGACCCAAGUACCUCCCUAAGGCCACUCCUCCUCAUACUCUCACCUUGGGGUAGAUGUUUCAACACCAAUUUGAGGAGGUGACAGUUAAGC